GCUAUUAUCUUUACUAUUUAUUCACAGUGAAGAGGGCCAAGAGGUAACUCUGCUGUAAGCCUAUGCUAUAUUAGAUGAGCAGGAAUACGAGAUACAUUACUGGUAGGAGGAUAAGUCAAUUGCUGCUAUUCCGUACAUUGGACCAAGGGCGAGUGCUUUUCUAAUUGGACGUGUUCUCCUCGUUUAUGUUGUCCCUACUUCACAAUCAUAGCAGACGAGUCACUUAAGUGCCCGGAUGGUGAAACUGCAGAAUCCGGGCUAAAAGCGGCUACUUCAUCAGGGUUCUGGCUCGGGGUUGAAGGGAUAAUUGGGAUAGAAGCAGAGUCAGUUGAAGGCAUGACGCCACCAGAA